UACGUAGGGAGCAAGCGUUGUCCGGAUUUAUUGGGCGUAAAGAGCUCGUAGGCGGCUUAGCAAGUCAGGUGUGAAACCUCCAGGCUCAACCUGGAGACGCCACUUGAUACUGCUAUGGCUUGAGUUUGGUAGGGGAAGACGGAAUUCCUGGUGUAGCGGUGAAAUGCGCAGAUAUCAGAGAGGAACACCGAUGGCGAAGGCAGUCUUCUGGGCCAAAAACUGACGCUGAGGAGCGAAAGCGUGGGGAGCGAACAGG
rnacentral:rRNA from 1 species